AGUUGAGCGGAGAUAUAUGGAGCUUGCUUUAUAUAACUUAGCAGCGAACGGGUGAGUAACACGUAGAUAAUCUAUCCUAUACUGGGGGAUAGCCCGAUGAAAGUUGGAUUAAUACCGCAUAUAGCUAUACAGUUGCAUGAUUAUGUAGUGAAAGAUUUAUUGGUAUAGGAGGAGUCUGCGGCACAUUAGCUAGUAGGUGAGGUAAAGGCUUACCUAGGCGACGAUGUGUAGCCGGUCUGAGAGGAUGAACGGCCACAAUGGAACUGAGACACGGUCCAUACUCCUACGGGAGGCAGCAGUGGGGAAUAUUGCACAAUGGGGGAAACCCUGAUGCAGCAACGCCGCGUGAGUGAAGAAGGUUUUCGGAUUGUAAAGCUCUGUUAGCAGGGAAGAGGAAGGACGGUACCUGCAGAGGAAGCCACGGCUAACUACGUGCCAGCAGCCGCGGUAAUACGUAGGUGGCAAGCGUUGUUCGGAAUAACUGGGCGUAAAGGAUGCGUAGGCGGUUAAACAAGUUAUAUGUUAAAUAUAUAGGCUUAACCUGUAGAAAGCAUAUAAAACUGUUUAACUAGAGUGCAGGAGAGGUAAGUGGAAUUCCUAGUGUAGCGGUGAAAUGCGUAGGGAUUAGGAAGAACACCAGUGGCGAAGGCGACUUACUGGACUGUAACUGACGCUGAGGCAUGAGAGCAUGGGGAGCAAACAGGAUUAGAUACCCUGGUAGUCCAUGCUGUAAACGAUGGGUACUAGGUGUGGGUUGUGAAUAACAAUUCGUGCCGUCGCAAACGCAAUAAGUACCCCGCCUGAGGA
rnacentral:rRNA from 1 species